GGGAUUGUGGCUCAGUGGUAGAGUGCUUGCCUAGCAUAUGUGAGGCACUGGUUUUGAUCCUCAGUACCACAUACAAAUAAAUAAAUAAAAUAUAAAAUUUCACCAAAAAUUAAUUAAAAUAUUUUUUUUAAGAAAAUGGUUAAAAUGGGCCAGAUGCAGUGGAUUACACCUGUAAUCCCA
rnacentral:tRNA from 1 species